rnacentral:rRNA from 1 species
UACGUAGGGGGCAAGCGUUGUCCGGAUUUAUUGGGCGUAAAGAGCGUGUAGGCGGCCAUGUAGGUCCGUUGUGAAAACUCGAGGCUCAACCUCGAGACGCCGAUGGAAACCAUGUGGCUAGAGUCCGGAAGAGGAGAGUGGAAUUCCUGGUGUAGCGGUGAAAUGCGCAGAUAUCAGGAAGAACACCAAUGGCGAAGGCAGUUCUCUGGGACGGUACUGACGCUGAGACGCGAAAGCGUGGGGAGCGAACAGG